rnacentral:lncRNA from 1 species
UCACCUCUUUGAACCAUUAUUUUGAUUAUAAUCUGUGCAUUUGAAACCAGUCCUUUCUUACAAAGAGUGUCGAUCAAUAUGUUGAAGGUAAAAACAUUAGGGGAUAUGUUCCUCCCCACCAUUUCUUUCAACAAGGCCAAAGCUUCCUUGAAAUGGUCUGAAAUGCAAAGACCAUCAAUUAAGGAAGUGUAGGUGACCACAUUAGGCUCUACACCUCUUUGAAUCAUUAUAUUGAAUGUAUUUUGAGCCUCUGAAACCAUUCCAUCCUUACAAAGAGCGUCAAUCAAUACAUUGAAGGUAUAAACAUCAGGUGAUAUGUUCUGCUCCACCAUUUCAUUCAUCAAGGCCAAAGCUUGGUUCUUUUGGCCUAAUUUGCAAACACCGUGAAUUAAACUAUUGUAAGUGAUGACAUCAGGUGAAACGCCCUUAUUCCUCAUUUGAGAGAAGAGCUCUAAAGCCUCACCAACUAGCUCAUCCUUGCAAAGGGCGUCAAUGAUUGCACUGUAUGUCACAACAUUUGGCUCACAACCUCUAUCAGCCAUUCCGUUUAGUAGCCCAAUAGCCACAUUUGUUUUCCCAAAUUUACACAUUCCGUUUAUUAUCGCACUGUAAGUAUAAACAUUAGGUUGAUAACCAUGUGCAACCAUAUCAUCGAAAAAUUCCACUGCUUUGUCGAUUUUGCUCUCCUUACAAAGCCCAUUAAUUAAGGUAGUAAAUGUCACAGUGUUAGGCUCCAAUCCGAAUUUGAGCAUCUUACCAAAAACAGAGAAGCCAAAAUCCACAAGGUGCAAGUGGCAGAAGCAAUUAAUUAAGAUGCUAAGAGAAUAAACAUUGUGUGAGAUUCCUAGCAAUUCAAUUGUUUUGGACAUGGAAAAGACAGUGUGAUAUUGUUUCAUUUUCACAAGGGCAGAUAAGAAUCUAUUAAAAUGAACCCUAGAAGGCAGAGGAUUCAUAUGAAUUACAUGAUUAAAGGAAGCAAUGGCAUCAUGAAGGCGGGUAAAAGAAGCAGAUUUGAAGUUAUUUGUCAAGAAGCGUGCAUCUUCAAGUGUGGAAGUAGAAGAAUGGCAAUAAUUGGUAAAUAAGAAUAGGAAUGGAGAUUGAAUGGUACCAAUUGCCCCUUGUAGCUGAAGAUGGAAGCUCCUGCUCUUCCUCCUCCAAGGCAUCUUCAUCAUCAUCGAUCUCUCGUCAGUUGUUUUUAGGGAUGGAUCGGAGAUUGGGAAUGAGGAAAGGAAAUAGAGAAUCGGAAAAAGAAGGCUCUCUGCCUGGUAAAGUGGCAAGGAUAACAAAAGGAAAUUGGGAAUUGUUUAUAUGCGCCACAUUUUGUGAUUUUUUAUUAAUUUAAAAAUAUUAUUUAAUAACAAAUUAAAUUUAUCAUUUUAUAAUAAUAAUUUUUUAAAUAUAAAUUCAAUUAAAUUUCUACUUUUAUAUAAGAGUCAAAUAAUCUUAAUUCAAAAUUUUGGAUAAAUUAAAUCUCUAUACUCAAAUAAAUUAUAAUCUAACAUAAUAUUAUAUAAUAUUAUUUUUUAAUAAUAAAAAUUUUUAUAUGAUAAAUUUUAUUUUUAUAAUUUUAAAAAUUAUUAAUUAUAUUUAUAUAUUUUUAAAAAAUUUUAUGAUAAUUAAAAUACUGAAUUUUUAAUUUUUAAAUUAUAAAAAUAAUAUUAAGUUAGAAUCUAUUUAGCCCUUGACAAAAUUACAUAGUUUAAUUAGCCUAAAAUUUUAAAAAUUUUAAAUUGAAUUUAUUUGAAUCUUAAUAAAAAUAUAGAAAUUUAAUUAAAUUUUAAAUAAAUUGACCCAACAUUUAUUUUAUUAAAUAAUAUUCCUUAUUUAGUAAAUAAUUGUCAACGUAUAUUUUUAAAAAUAUUAUUAUAGUCUAAUUGUAUAUAAUAUAGAUGAGGAAAAAAUAAAUAGUUUAUUGUUUAAUUUUACUCUAAUAUAAUUAGAAAUUUAAAAUGACUAACUUUAUAUAAUUUUUUAUUAUUAAUUACUUUAUUUAUAACUUUAUUUUAGUAUAAUAAAAAUUAAUUUUUUUACGAAGCUUAACUCUAACUCUCAUGAGAACUGUUUAGCACAUUUUUAUUUUGACAUUUUAUUUGAAUAAUAUUACAAUAUUAAUUAAUAUCAGUAAAAAAUUAAUAUAAAUUAUUUCAAAAUAAUAAAAUUUUGAAAUGUUAAACUCACUAAAUGUAUUUUGCAUUUUAAAUUUUAUUUGUUGUUUUAUUUUAUUGUUAAUAAUAUUAACGUAAAUUUAUAAUAUACAAAAUUUCAUAAAAAUUAAAAUUAUAAACAUUUUAUUUAUAAGAUUACAUAAUAAAUGUUAAAUUAGAAAAUUAAAUUACUGUGUGAAGCUAAUAAAAAAAUAUAAAAUUAUCAAAAAUUUAAUAUUUUUAUUAAAUAUUUAUUGCUAAAAAUUAUUAGUAUGAAUUAUUUAUUCCAAAAAUUUUAGCCACAAACUCAAAUAUUCAGCAUUAAAAAUAUUCAUACUUUUGAUGAUCUUUUAAAUUGGAAGUUUGAAAUUUUAGUUAGUUUUUUAUAUUAGAUUAUAAUAAAAUUUUGAUUUAAAUUUUAAUAGAAAAAUAAUAUAAUUAACCAAUCAAAUUAAAUAUUUUAAAUAACCAAUCAAAUUAUUAGAUUAUAAUAAAGCUUUAUCUCUGCCUGUUUACUUCUAAAGGCAAACCUUGUUUCUCUACUAGUGGUUAGUACUGCAGCCUUACCCUAUCCCUUUUAAGUAAGGGAUGGCUUCCUCGAGUCUUGGAUAUGGGUUUACUCUCCUUGUCUCUAGGGCUGGGUUGAAAAUAUUGUGUCUUUCUAUUGUUGUUUUUGCAGUUCUAGAUUUGGAGCUUCACGGUGAGAGUAUUUUAAAGAUCAGUCUUGGUUUAGGCCAACUCAUAGAUGUGAUAUCACUCUUCCGGCGACUGAGAGAGUUUGUGGUUUGCUUGCAUGCAUUCUUUUUUUAGGGGGUUCAAGUUUUCUAGGGAGGUGACAUAUCAUGAUGCUAUUAACGCUACUGAUAUGACUCCAGUCUUCGAAUAGCUACGAGAGAGUGAGACUGCUGUGAGCUCUGCUUACUCCAACCCACUAAACCUCUAGUACUAUAAAAAAAAUAAAUUUACAAACGGAUCAUAAACAUACUUUUGUUAUUGAAGGGAGGAGAGGCAUUCUCUUUUUAUAGGGAAGAAAAACUUUUCAUCUUUUAUAAUUUAUCAAUGUGAGAUUAAAAUUAAAUUGAUAUAAAUAAAUUUAUAAACUGACAAUAAAAUUAAAUGACACGAACGGUUCAAUAACUAUAAUUAUCUUUUUAACUAUAUACUCUUUAUACCUAUUUUAUAUCCGUCAAACAAUCAUAUGCAUUCUAAUAAUAGACAUUAUUCCAAAGUGUUAUAACAUAAAAAAUCAUUUUGCAUGAAUAACAGUUUCAACUAAAGGAGAAAUACAACAUCAUGACUGUUUUGUCAAUUUUAGUUUCAAAAGUCUUGAAGAGUUUAAAAGACAUCUUAUUGUAAAGAUAUGAAUCAACAACUUCUUAAUUUAUAUUGAUAAUGAAAUGAUUUUUUUAUUGGCAAUUCAAUAAAAAUUCAUUGGUAAAUAAAUUAAUAAUAAAUUACUAAUAGAUUACGAUCCGUUGUUAAAAAGUUCGGUGGUAAAUUUUUAUCAACGGCUUUCAAGUUCGUUAGUAAUACUAGUAGAUUUAUUAAUGGGAUUUCCAUUAUUAUUACCAACAAAUUUUAAUAACGGAAUUUUCAUUAUUAUUACCAAUAAAUUUUAAUAAAUUUUAAAUUUCUUAAUAUAAAAGAAAAAUAAUUUAUUAAUAUAUGUGAAAUCCGUUUGUAAACUAUCAAGGAAUUGCAAUCCAUUAGUAAAUUUAUUGAGAGUUUAAAUAAUUUUUUAUUAAUUUAAUAAAACUUAAAAUUAUAUUAUUCCUGUUACUAAGUUUUUAAUUUAUAUCCAAUAUUUAUUAGAAAUACAAAGAAAGUGAAAAUAAAAAAAGAGUAAAUGGUACAAAAUGAGAGAAAAUAAUAAAAAAGAAAGAAAAAAAGAGAAAAAUAAAGAAAAUAAUAAAAAAUAAAAAUUAUGAAAAUGAAGAAAGAACCAGAGUUGGGUAAAAAGAUGAUUAAAGAAAUGAAAAAAGUGAAUAAAGGAUUAGAGAAGAAAAUAAAUAAAGAGAAAAUAAUAGAAAAAAAUGUAUAUAGAAAGAAAAUGAUAGAAAAAAAUAAUAUUAGAAAAAUUAAUAUGAAUGAAAAUUAUAGAGAAAAUGAAGAAGAUAAGAGGAAAGGAAAGAAAAAGAUGGAAAAGAAAAUAGAGAAAAUGAAAGAAAAAUUAUGAAGAAUGAAAAAAAAUAAUAGAAGAGGAAAGAGAAUGAGAGAGAAUAGGAUAAGAUAUGAAAGAAAAAUAAUAGAAAAAAUAAGAAAAAAAAUUUAUGAGAUAAAAAAGUGAAAUGAAAAAAAGUAAUAGAAAAAAAAAAGAAAACAGAGAAAGGAUAAAAAAUGGAAGAAAGAUAGAUGAUAAGAUUUAGAUUUGGCUCUUAAAAGUAUAUAUAUAGGAUUUGAAUUUAUUUUUCUUAUGAUAUUAAUCUCAACCUGCUUAAUUAGACUAUUUACGAACCUACUCAUGAAUUCAUAUGCGAGUUGAACUCAGCAGUUUUAACGAGACGAAUAUUAUGGAGUUUAAGUUUACUUCAUUUACUAAAUAAGCCUAAAAAUUAAGUUUGAGUUUAACUCGUUUAGAAAUCGAGUCGAAUCUGAAAUAACUCACAAACGAUUUGUUUCAUUUACACCUCUAAAUUUGUUAACAGAUUAAAAUUGUUAGUGAUUUAUUAAUGGAUCUGAUAAAUUUUUACACAAUUUUUUAUAUUAAAAAUUACCAAAAAAAUUUUCAAAUUCGUUAAAAUCACUAAUGUACAUUGAUAAAAUUUAUUAGUAAAAUUUGUUGAUAAAAGUAUAAAAACUAUAGCUUUUCCUUUUAGCAUGUUGCUCACUAUCUCGCUUGAACCAUUAAAACGAUGUUUUACAUGAUUUUGUAGCAUAGAAAAAUAUAUCAAAUUGCUAACAAGAAACUUCCUUUUAUAUUUAGUUUCGUACGAAUAGCUCUAAAACUAACAUUUUGAUAAAAGCGACUCCAAAAUCUUGUAACAAGUUGCCUUUGUGAUUUCUGAACAAAUCAUCUCUCUCAGCUAUCUCUCAUUCUUCAGAAGUGGAGUAUAAAAACCUCUGGUAGGACUCAUAGUCUGAUUAACGUUGAUUUAUCUCUUUAAAGCCAUACAAAUCAUUAUAUUCUCGCUUUGAAUUUGCCCUUUAAAAAUGUAAAUGUCCCUUUCUCUUCGACCAAAUUUAACACUUUGACAAACUAAAUAAUAUUUUACCUUUAUUUUUUCAUCUCUUUAUUAAUUUUUUAUAUAUUAUUAUUAUUAUUAUUAUUAUUAUUAUUAUUAUUGCAAAUAGGCAAUUAAAUUUGAGCUCCUAUUAUAUUAAUAUCACAUUAUUAUAUGAAUAUAUUUAAUCAAAAUUAUCCAAAAAAAUUAUAAUAAAAUAAAAUUAAGAAAAUAUAUCAUUUUAGUUGAUUUUUUUAUUGUAAUUGAAAUAUUCAAAAUUUUAUUAUAUUUGCUAAUAUCUGUUAUUUAAUAAAAUUACUAUUUAAUUUAAAAAUUAUUAUAGUCGAAUUAUAUAUAUAUAUAUAUAUAUAUCCAUUUGUUUGUAUUUUUUAUAUCAAUCAUAAAUGUAUUAAUUAUUUUGUAAUUUUUUAAUUAUAUGAGUAAAUUACUUAUUAGUAAUAUAAUAUAUAUUUAUAUAUUAAUUACACAUAUUUUUUAAUUAAAAUUAUAUAAUUAAUAACUACAUAGAAUAAUAAAAUAUUCUUAUCUUAUAUUACUACUGUUAUUAUUUUAGUAUUAUUAUUUACUAUUUUAAAAUAUACAUAAAAAGUUAUUAUGAUUUUAUUUGUAAAAAUUAAAAUUUAAAUCAAAUUGAAACUAAAAUUAAAGUAAAAAAAAUUAAAAACAAAUUUAGACAGUAAUGAAAUUGCUUACAACCAUAUCAAAAUUAUACCGAAAUUUAAUUUCAAAUGUGGUUUUAAACAUUAAAGUAUUAGAAAUUUGGUUUGGUUCUAAUUCUUAGUAAGAACUAUAAUUUUUUUUUUUUUUUAUUUGAAUCUGAUUCUUAGCAAGAAUUACAGUUUUUCUUUUUAGCAUGUUGCCCACUACUAAUUAAGUUGUAUAGGUUAGCUGCUAAAUUUAAUAGUCUGCUAAAGGAGAAUUUGAGAGCAACAUUACCAACCGAUCGUCUAUCAUUCCAAGAUUUUAUUUUCAUCUCAUUCCCCACAGCAAAUCUGAUAUGAUUAAACAACAACUGAGAACAAAGAUCUAAAUUUAAUAGCCGCAUUUCGAAUGUCUUUCCGAAGGGAAGAAAUGCAACAACAGUAUUCCAUUUAAUCAAAUGAAGUUUCUUUGUAUUGACACUACUGCACCACGAGAAAGAUCUAAUGUGUAAUAGUUAGAUGAUGCUUUAAAGCACCAAGUUUAUCCCAUAGUUUAUUCAAUUUUGUAAAGUAAACAACAACUGAUAUAGAUUCUUGGGUUCUGAAUCAUUUUGCAAUAGGUUUCCUACCUCUCAAUAUGUACCCUGUCAAACCCACCUUCUCUAACAAACCAUUUCGCAUGGAUGCAGAAUCACAAAAACUUCAAGAAAGAUGCAUCAAGCAAAAAGAAAAAGUAUAUUACAAGGUUUAGUAAUAACAUAAAAUGUCUCAUUAUAUACUGCUGAGAGGAGAAAAGAAACAACCAAAACAACUUUUCUUGCCUAACUCAAAUGGUGGUCCAACACUAAAAUAUAUCCGUUAGUGACAUUUCAUCCAACCAACAGUUGUAGAAGUCUAGUGAUUCUCUUACCUUGUAUUCUGGGACUGUAUAUCCUGCGCUCUGCAUUUAUAGUGUAGUAUAAUUGUUAAAUCAAUUCUCAAUUAAAGCACACCGGUUUAUAAUCAUUAGUUUCAUUAUUAUUAAAAAUUAUAAUAAUUAAGCGAAAAAGAAUUGCGUAUACUUUUAUGGUUAGAAAGGUGAAGUUGUAGUAAUAUCCUUGCAAGUACCUACAAGAGAAAUGAUGGCAUUUUGAAAGGUCAUUGAGCACAAAAAUAAAAAUAGAUAAAGAUUCUUAGGCAUUCUAGUAUGGAACCAAUUAGUUUUAGUUCUCAACUCAAUUUUAGGAUUGAGCUCUCGAGUAAAGGCUGUAUUAGCAACCAAAAACAAAAAUUGUAAUGGAGAUGGUGGGUUUGCCAUGCAGCAACUUAAUGAUUAGAAAUCCAUGACCUCCAUUCAUCAACAAUCUUAUAUCAAAGAGAUCUCGUCCAUGUCUGAAUUCAAGCGAAAGGCACACGCAUAUCAUGGUUUCCAUCACAGGUAAUUUACAGUGUUAAAAAUUUUCGUUUUGUGCAAGAGAAUCACAGCUGAUUGAAAUUAAAAAUGAUAUUUGAAGAAGUUAGUUAAAUUACAUAUCUAUUAUAUUUGAAAAAGGUAAUUACCAAGUUGCGCUCCAAGAUACACUUGAAUGGUCAAGAUAUAACAACUUUAGUUUGCUGAUCCCUCAUUGCGCAACUUUAAAAGCCUCAGAAUGAGAUUAUUAUUCUGCGAUAAAUGUACUACCAAUUCUGUGGUAGCAUCAUCAGCAGAGAACCCCUUAUCAACCAUUUCGUUGAUUAGUUCUGAUGCUUUUGGUAAAUCCUCAUGCCUGAGAAACCCUUGAAUGAUGAUAUUAUAACAACAAUUAUUUGGUAAACAUCCUACCUUUUCCAUGUCUUUAAAUACCUUAUACGCUUCAUCCAUUAAUCCUUGUUGGCAGAGUCCAUUCAUAAUUGCAUUAUAUACAUAAACAUCAGGUUGUAAACCAAUUUCAAAAAGACUAGAAAAAAGUUCCUUGGCAUCAUUAAUCUUCCCAACUUUGCACAUACCAUUGAUCAGGCUACUAUAGAUCACAAAAUUAGGCUUCGACUGACUUUUCUCCAUUGCUUUCAAUAGGGUGAGUGCCUCAUCGAGAUUCCCCUGUCUACACAAGCCAUCAAUCAUAAUUGAGAAGGUUACUAUAUUUGGCUGUUGACCAUGAGAGUACAUAUCCUUAAAAAGCUCUUUUGCAGUUUGGGGCCUCCCUGCUUGAAACAUAGCCUUUAUAAGAGUAUGAUAAGUAACAGUAUCAGGAACUAAACCUUUAUGAGACAUUUCAUAAAAAAUCUGCUUUGCAUCAUCUAUCAUUUUGCACUUACAAUAUCCAUUGAUCAAAAUGUUGUAGCUAAAAAUGUCAGCUAUUUGAUUGGUCACCAUCAGAUCAAAUAGCUUUCUAGCCUUAUCAAUUUGGCUGCCUAGACAAUAUCCAUCCAUCAAUGAACUAUAAGUGACAACGGUAGGUUCCACACCUCUUUGAAUCAUUAUUUUGAUUAUAUUCUCUGCAUUUGAAACGAGUCCUUUCUUACAAAGUGUGUCGAUCAAUAUAUUGAAGGUAAAAACAUUAGGGGAUAUGUUCCUCCCCACCAUUUCUUUCAACAAGGCCAAAGCUUCCCUGAAAUGGUCUGAAAUGCAAAGACCAUCAAUUAAGGAAGUGUAGGUGACCACAUUAGGCUCUACACCUCUUUGAAUCAUUAUAUUGAAUGUAUUUUGAGCCUCUGAAACCAUUCCAUCCUUACAAAGAGCGUCAAUCAAUACAUUGAAGGUAUAAACAUCAGGUGAUAUGUUCUGCUCCAC